GAUCGUAAAACUAAGUACCAUUCUGGAUGUUUCUCUGAGUCAUAUGUCAAAUUUAUAUAUCUACGACUAGAGGAACAUUCAGCAUUGGUUAUGGUUUGCUUAUAUACA